UACAGAGGUCUCAAGCGUUGUUCGGAUUCAUUGGGCGUAAAGGGUGCGUAGGCGGCGCGGUAAGUCGGGUGUGAAAUCUCGGAGCUUAACUCCGAAACUGCAUUCGAUACUGCCGUGCUUGAGGACUGGAGGGGAGACUGGAAUUCUUGGUGUAGCGGUGAAAUGCGUAGAUAUCAAGAGGAACACCUGAGGUGAAGACGGGUUGCUGGGCCGACACUGACGCUGAGUGCGCGAAAGCCAGGGGAGCAAACGGG
rnacentral:rRNA from 1 species